UGAGGAAUAUUGGUCAAUGGNCGAGAGUCUGAACCAGCCAAGUAGCGUGAAGGAUGACUGCCCUAUGGGUUGUAAACUUCUUUUAUANGGGAAUAAAGUNNUCCACGUGUGGNUUUUUGCAUGUACCNUAUGAAUAAGGAUCGGCUAACUCCGUGCCAGCAGCCGCGGUAAUACGGAGGAUCCGAGCGUUAUCCGGAUUUAUUGGGUUUAAAGGGAGCGUAGNUGGANNGUUAAGUCAGUUGUGAAAGUUUGCGGCUCAACCGUAAAAUUGCAGUUGAUACUGGCUGUCUUGAGUNCAGUUGAGGUAGGCGGAAUUCGUGGUGUAGCGGUGAAAUGCUUAGAUAUCACGAAGAACUCCGAUUGCGAAGGCAGCUUACUNANCUGCAACUGACAUUGAUGCUCGAAAGUGUGGGUAUCAAACAGGAUUAGAUACCCUGGUAGUCCACACGGUAAACGAUGAAUACUCNCUGUUUGCGAUAUACAGNNAGCGGCCAANCGAAAGCNUUAAGUAUUCCACCUGGGGAGUACGCCGGCAACGGUGAAACUCAAAGGAAUUGACGG
rnacentral:rRNA from 1 species